rnacentral:rRNA from 1 species
UAAGCAUACCCACUGAACCUGCGGAAGGAUCAUU